UACGUAGGGUGCAAGCGUUGUCCGGAAUCAUUGGGCGUAAAGAGCGUGUAGGCGGCUCGAUAAGUCCGCUGUAAAAGUCCAGGGCUCAACCCUGGGAUGCCGGUGGAAACUGUCGGGCUAGAGUCCGGGAGAGGCGAGUGGAAUUCCUGGUGUAGCGGUGAAAUGCGCAGAUAUCAGGAGGAACACCAAUGGCGAAGGCAGCUCGCUGGAACGGUACUGACGCUGAGACGCGAAAGCGUGGGGAGCAAACAGG
rnacentral:rRNA from 1 species